CUGAGCUGAAGUUGGACAGUUAACCAACUGAGCCACGCGGGUACCCCAAAGUCAUUUUUUUUUUAAGUCCACUGACAUCACCUCAAAGGAAGUUGUGUGUUUCUUACAAAGAAAACUGCAGCAAAAAAUUUUAAAUUGUUUACUCUUUUUAUUUAGGUUUAGAUUUGGGAUAAGAGGGAGAAAACCUUAACAGAACAAAGGAGUUGUUGAUGUUAUGCCCAGUUAUCCAGAUAGGGUCAUGAUAGGCCUCAUGGUGGCCUGAGAGCAAAACAGACUACUUUGAGAAAUAAUUUGCCAGCAGUCUUCUUCAUUUCCGAAGCAGAUCUCCUCAAAGAGUUUUCUUGAAGAUGAUACAUAACUUGGGCAGGAAACGAUCUAUCCGAGGUUAAAAGUCCCACUGCAGGUGACUGGGAAGGAGAAAGUGAAAUUCUCAGCUCCGUCUCUGCUUGACUUGAUCAUAUAAGCUUAAUAUAAACAGCCCUGAGAAACAGGUCAGUAUUGCAAAUUAAAAAAAAACAAAACCCAAACCUAAGGAACAAGGAGAGAGGGGAAUUAGGUCUAGAUCUAAGUUUUAGCCUUAUGCUAGCUAAAAAUAAUCACUUGAAGUUUAUUCAUGAAUAUUUCAAAAUAAAUGUUUGCUCCCACCCCUUCCAUCUCUGAAGUUCCAUUAUCCCUACAUGUUCCCAGCAGCUCCUACCUUCUACCCCCGCUUGAAACUCACAAGUCUUUUUUCCCCUCUCUACAUACCUUUGGUAAACUCAGGGCUUUUUGGAACUCAGGAGCUUUGUAUGGGUCCCUUAAUUCACACCUGGAGUCACAACCUAGCGUUACAGUUCCAGUUGUCUUGGGGGCAUCUCCUCUCAGACUUACUGUCUUCUCUCAGCUUCACAGAUUGAAUGGAAUGAAGAAGUCUUGACCCGUGUUGUACUAAAUCAGAAUACAUCCCAAUUCUUCCUUUUUCCCUGAAGACAACUGCAGUUCUGUGUUCUGAAGUUUUCUCCACCUACCUCUCUCACAUUUGCCUCUCUGUCUUCCUAUUUAUCUCCCUAAAUUUCAAGCUGCAGAUCAGACCGUAUGUCUUGUGGAUGAAUUUCUUUUGAAAUGGGAUUCUGAUGGCAGGGAAGCAAGAUCAUUUAGUAUGCUAGAUUUCCAGUAACCCCUAUAGCUGUAGACCAGGGGUCGGCCAGCUAGUGCCUAUAGCCAGAUGUGCUGCAGGCCUAUUUUUGUGAAUAAAAUUUACGGAACAAAGCCACACUCAUUUGUUUAUGUAUUGCCUAUGGCUAUUUUGCAGGACAGUGGCAGAGUUAAGUAGUUGCAAUGGAGACAGUCUGGCCCACAGUGUCUAAGAUAAUAUUUUACUGUCUGGUCCUUUACAGAAAAAAAUGUACCAACCUUUGACAUAGGCCAGAGAGCAAACUGGGUUUGGGUAACUUGUAUCAUACACGUGGUUGUUUUAAAAAUAUAUCCAUAAAUCUUUUGAUACUCCUCUUUGAGAGGUAGAGCUUCAUUUUCCUCCCCUUGAAGUUUGGGCUGGACUUGCUUAGAAAUGGAAUCCAGCAGUGAUGGGCUGUCACUUCUGAGAUUAGGCUGUAAAAGGACAGGCUUCUGUCUUGGGUGUGCACUCUCCUGGAUCACUUGCUAUGGGAGAAGCUCUAUUGUGAGGAGACCGAGGCAGUCUUUGCUGAGAGAGACCCACAUGGCAAGUAGCUAUGGCUGGCAGCUAACGCUGAGGCUCCCCAGCCCACAGCCAUGUGGGUGAGCUUGGAAGCAGAUCCUUCAGCCCCAGUGGAGCCUUGGGAUCACUGCAGCCCCAGCCAACAGCUUGUCUGCUGCCUCAUUAGGGACCUUGAACCGGACCUGCUAAAUCCUAGGUUCCUCACACUCAGAAACCAUGUGGGACAAGCUGUUUGUUGUUCCAAGGUGCUGAGUUUAGGGGUAAUUUGUUACAUAGGAUUAUACAGCUAAUACAAUAAAGAGCUGCCCUGCCUGCCUCUCCCCCGCCCCCCAACACGUACCCAUUACUGCCAGCAAGAUCACCCAGGGUCUUGUGCCAUCCUGCCCCCACCCUGGGUCCAGAAAAUGAGGCUUGCCUUUUUGGAAUGAACACUUCUUGAAGAAAGCUCUGUGGGACUAGGUAGAACACAAAGCUUUCUCAUACAGAAUUUUGUUACCUGAACCACCCACAGGGUAAGUCUACAGUAUGUGCCUAAAAGUUAUCUUGUCCAGUAUUAAACCAUCUUAUCUAUGACAACUAAUUGGGGGGAGAAAUUAGACUCUCGCAGAAAAGUGUUUGCUGUGGAAAAUGAUGCAAAAAGAGGCAGGAUAGGUGAUCAGUUUUCAAAGCUGGAAAAAAAAACCCAAAAUCUCAAGAAAAUGAGAAAUAUUUCUACCUCAAAUGUCUUAGUUUCUAUCCUUAACAGGAGGCUGGUGACCCAUUGGCUCUAAAACGGCCUAUUCCAUUUCACAGGCAUUUGUGUCUUUCAAAAAAAGAGGAAAUUUUUUUCAAAGGUUCCAGAUCAGUUUGGUGACGGCCCCUCCCAUUUAAAACAGCCAUUUUCUUAACACUAAGAAUUUGAAUAAUUAGAUCACUUUUCCUACAAAAGAUUUUCUGAUAACAAGGAAUGGGUCCCCUUUCACACUAUAAAUUCUACUCAACUCUUGGCAUCAGCUUUAAGCAUGACUUUGAUGACAUUCCUUUAGCCAGAAUUGGGUAAGGUCCCGUAGGCAAUGGAUGUUAUUUCAAACCACUGUCUGGAAGCAAGCGGGAUAAAAGGUGGAUGUAGGGCUCCAUAAGGACCUGCCAAAUGGGGAGAAGGGUUCAUGCAGAAAGGGCAAACCAUUUCUCAGGUUUUCUAUUCCACUUUGUAAAGGAAAAGGGUUAUAUUCCAGGGACAGAAGUUAACAAAGGACACCCGCUCAUGUGCUGCAGUAAACAGCCUACCAUUUUUCAUAUGGACUGAAAUCAAGGCAAACAAGGUAAUCUUAACUCACUCUCAAUCUGACUGUUUGAUUAUAGUCAAAAACCUGGUGUGGUCUCUCCUGCUUCCCUUUCCUGUGACCACCCUGGGAGCUAUUGUAUGGAGAACCCUGACCCUUUCUCCUGAUAGCUCCCCUAAGUCCAUGACCAUUGCAGCAGGUCCUGCUGGAAGACAGUCAAGGGGUAGGAAGGACAGAAGAUGGUUACACCUGGGAAAUGGGGCCUGUGGGGAAGUGGGGGAGAGUGCUGAGGCGAGCUUUCACAACAUUCAUAGGUCCUUUUGAAAUAUCUGAUUUUUUUUUUUCUGACAAUGAUUAUGCAUUCCUUUUGUAAUGUUUCAUAAAAGAAGUCAAGGAAGCAACUUAAUCUUCUUUCUGCAAUUGUUGGCAUUCCUCUUCCUUCUGCUCAUGCCGCCUUCUCACCAACCAUCCAUCAUCCAGUAUGUGGCAGAAAGCAGAUAUGACUGAACUGACUGCUUUUCAUAUUCCCCAACAGAAAGACGAGGUGAAAGUUAAAGAGAAGUGAUCAACAUGAAAAUAAAUGUUUAACCUCACAAGUAAUCAAAGCAUGCAAAUUAAAACAACAAUUGGUUGCCUUCAAAUUGGCAAAGAUGAAAAAGAAGGGUGAUAUUCGGUGCUAAGGGGGUGGUGGGGAUAUGGUCACUCUCAUAUCUGAUCUUAGAAGAGUAAGUUAGUAUACCUUUUUGAGCAAGAACCUGGCAGCACUUACACCAAGUGGCAAAAAGCAGGUCACAAACCAGAGUGAUCUCUUGGUUUUGUAAAAAUACAUAUAUAUAUAUGUGAGUUAAAAAAAAAAAAAAGACAUGAAGAAUGUACAAAAAUUAAUAGUGGUUAUGCUUGGGUUGUGGAUAUUUGUCUUUAACAUUUGCAUUUAUGUUUUUCUAAGUUUUCUUAGAAACGUUAUAUUUUGAGAGAAAAUGCAUGUUAAUUUCCAGUUAUCAAGGGAGGGGGAAAAUGUAGGGAGGAAAGAAGGAUAUGGCAGGAAAAGAUUUAGUUUUAACGGAAAUGAGCAGAUCUCUUAAAAUCAAGGUGGCUUGAGAAGAGGCUUGGUAGAGCAAACUCUGGUUCAGUGGAAUUAUCCAAAUGUACGUACAGUUUCAUGCCCUUUUCACUUUCCCAUUUAAAAAAAAAAAAGGUCCCAACACCAUCAUACUCAGGUACACAAGAUUAAAUUAUUUAAGCCUAGAAUGGCAUUUAGGGAAGUCUGGAGUUGUGGUUCAGAGGACAGAGCAUUCCUUGGAGUGUGGCCCAUACUAAGAGCCCUAUACUCAGUUGAGAUGGAUUUAUGAAGUGGGCACCAGAAAGCCCAGAAAUCUGUCCUGUCAUUUACACUUCUUGAAAAUGGAAGCCUCACUUAGAAAAUUGAAAAGGACCUUCUGCCCCACGCAAACUAUAGAAACCUGAAAGUGGUCAAGAGACUGUUCUUGAAUGUGAUUCCUAUUUCUCAGUACAUUCUUUAUUGAGGUAUAUUUAAUCUAGUUUUACAGAGCUUGACUGAAGGGGGUGCAUGUGAUGGAUGUUGACCAGAACUUGGAUUAGAGAAGACUGGGGAUCAAAGCCCUGGACAAGCUGCAGUGGAUACCUUGGCUUGAGGAUCACCAGCGCAGAAUUUGACUCCUGUUCGUCUUUGAAUUUGUAGCUGGCAUAAUCCAGUGGGGCAGGAAGCAACUUGGGGAUUCAGACAUUUGCUUAUUUCUCCUUCUUGGGUGAAUUCCUAAGCGUGGCAUCGCCAGGUUGUAUGGUAGAUCAACUUUAAAAUGCAACUAAAAUGAUCCAUUCAACUGAGAAGAACCCCACACCCCUUCACCCCCACCCAGUACCCAGCAAGCUAUUUCCCUGAGCCUCCAGCCUGGAUGGAGCAAGUCUACCCUCCUGCUUCUCUGCUUCAUCUCCUUACUGCGGUUGCUGUGGGGCUCUCACGGCUGCGAACACACGUGACCCAGGAGGAAACGAGUCCUUAAUCUACGUUCCACACAGGGCAGCUCCACUCAGGAAUCAUUAAUCCCGUGCUCACAAGGUGACUCCAGGGUGCUUAUUACUAGGGA